ensembl:lncRNA
AAAAGUUAAGUUGGAGCUUUUGAAUGUAAUAUGCUAAGUAGCAAGGAAAGUUAAUAGCAUCUUUGUUUUGCACCUGAUUUUUUUUUUUAUUAGUAGAACCUUAUGAGUGCCACACCAAGAACAUUUUUAAAUACUAGUCUAUAAUUCUGCCACUUAAUAACUUUUCAUUUUGUUGUGCCCCGUCUUUACCAUACAUAUUUCUAAAUCAAUGAAUCAUCCUAGGUUCUGUAAUGGGUAGUAAUUUGUUCAAAAGGGGUUUUGGGCAGACAUUAGCUGCAGGAUGCACCAUGAUUAUAGGUGGGAGAGAUUAGAGAUAAAUGCCUCGUGGAAAGGCAGCUGUAGACUAUAAUAAUCUAGGCUCCCAAGGAUCGUAGAGUUCACAGGGAGAGCGGCCAGGCUGUAGAGAAGAAACAGAUCCCGGAGCACUCUGAAUCUCUGUAGAGAUCCAUUUCAACCUGACAGAAUGUUAAGAGGCAGUAUCCUUGAAGCUGAGGAACUGUCUCCAUCAUCAUACAUGUAGAAAAAAUAUCUGAACAUUUAAGUGGAAGUGCCCCCAUACCUGGGAAAUGGCUUCCAAAGAACAAGAGACUCAACCAACACCCCUGUUCCACAGCCACAAAGAACUUGAGCUUUCUGGUGGUGAACUGGACAUGGAAGUUGUUUUUACCAACAGGAGAAGAGGAAGAGUAACAGUUAUAAAGGGAAUUGACAGCAAGUUGGCUCAUCGGUUGCCAGGGAAACCAGCAGAGGUGUUUGUUGCUGAGUACGGGCUUUCUCUAGUUGCGGUGACGGGGCUUCUCAUCGCAGUGGCUUCUCUUGUGGAGAAAGGGCUUUUGGCACCAGGGCUUUAUGGGAUUAGUUGCUCCACGGCAUGUGGAAUCUUCCUGGACCAGCGAUCAAACCCGUGUCCCCUGAAUUAUCAGGUGAAUUCUUAACCACUGAACCACCAGGGAAGUCCCAAGAAUGUUCCAUCUUUCAGUUCUGUUUGAUGUAAACAGUUGCACCUACAACAAGAUACUAACAGUCAGGUACCAAGAGGAAUUUUGAAAGAUACUCUAUAUAAAUAUAGGAAUUGCCCAAGCAAGCACUAAAACCUAUAGGCAAC